UCACUUCGGGGACGCUGAGACAGGUGGUGCAUGGCUGUCGUCAGCUCGUGUCGUGAGAUGUUGGGUUAAGUCCCGCAACGAGCGCAACCCUUGUCAUUAGUUGCCAUCAUUAAGUUGGGCACUCUAAUGAGACUGCCGGUGACAAACCGGAGGAAGGUGGGGAUGACGUCAAGUCAUCAUGCCCCUUAUGACCUGGGCUACACACGUGCUACAAUGGACGGUACAACGAGAAGCGAACCUGCGAAGGCAAGCGGAUCUCUUAAAGCCGUUCUCAGUUCGGACUGUAGGCUGCAACUCGCCUACACGAAGCUGGAAUCGCUAGUAAUCGCGGAUCAGCACGCCGCGGUGAAUACGUUCCCGGGCCUUGUACAC
rnacentral:rRNA from 1 species